GCAGACACAUUCCAGCCAAUCAGCAGCAGACCCUCCCUCCCAGACACUCCCACCUCCUGGACAGCAUCCAUUUUGAAGCUGCAUUCUUAGGGAGUUGUCCAGGAGGUGGGAGGGUUUGGGAGGGAGGGUCUGCUGCUGAUUGGCUGGAAUGUGUCUG